rnacentral:rRNA from 1 species
UACAGAGGUGGCAAGCGUUGUUCGGAAUUACUGGGCGUAAAGGGUUUGUAGGUGGCUUGCUAAGUCAGACGUGAAAUCCCUCAGCUUAACUGGGGAACUGCGUCUGAUACUGGCGAGCUUGAGUGCAGGAGAGGAACGCGGAAUUCCAGGUGUAGCGGUGAAAUGCGUAGAUAUCUGGAGGAACACCGGUGGCGAAGGCGGCGUUCUGGACUGCAACUGACACUGAGGAACGAAAGCCAGGGGAGCAAACGGG